AAAAGGUAGCAUAAUCAAUUGGCUUAUAAUUGAAGUCUGGCAUGAAAGGGAAUUUGGGAUGUAGCUGUCUUUAAUAUAAUAAAAAGAAAUUACUAAAUAAGUGAAAAUUCUUAUAAACUAUAAAUAAGACGAGAAGACCCUAGAAAUUUUUAAAAAACUAAGUGUAUAUUCUUUUUGUUGGGGCGACAGGGUUACAUAAAACUAACUUGUAUAUAUAAGAAAAUUAUACUUUGUACAAAUAAAUUACUCUAGGGAUAACAGCAUAAUAUUUAAAAGUUUGUGACCUCGAUGUUGGACUAGGGAGUGCAAUACCUAGAAGGUACUGUAAUAAGCUCUGUUCGAGCUUAACACCCUACAU
rnacentral:rRNA from 1 species